UUGUUCUUGAUCCCCCUUUUCCUAUUUUUUAAAAUAGCUUGAUUUACAAAUUUCCUUUUUACAUUUUGCACAGACUUUGAGACUUUAUAGCGUUGAUCACUGCUCUCUUCUGUUCUCCUGUGCAGCUCACGAUCGUGUUCUUCGCUCGGUCGGCUCUGGAUGUGCUCGAUGCUCUGCAUGUCGUGGACAAGCCGGGUUUAAUCGAGUGGAUUUAUUCCCUGCAGGUUCUUCCCACCGACGACAAGUCCAAUCUCAGACGCUGUGGCUCCUCACACGCCGGCGGUCCCUACAGCAGGUCGACGGCGGGUCCACGUUCUGUGCCGUGGCGUCUCUGUGCAUGAUGGGAAAGCUGCAGGAGGUGUUCAGCGAGCGAGAGCUGAAGCGGAUCCAGACAGCAGAACGGCUUCCACGGCCUGCUACUCCUUCUGGCUCGGAGCCACGCUGCAGUACACUCACUUCCAGAAGAACCGCAGCUGCCUUCUGUCCACGCAGGACCGCUUGGUGGCGGAUUCGCUAAAUCAGUCAUCCAGACCCUCUCCACAUGUACUUGUGCAUCAGUGGUCUGUCUCUGAUGGCAGCAGCUGCAUGCGGCGCUGAACAUCAGUGUUGGAGCGUUCGAGAGUCUGCAGCAGCUGCAGGAGGCGUGGAGGCAGAAGAGCACAUGAUGACGCUUCGCUUCGUUUGGGCCCCGGAUUCAUCCUCCCUCAUCAGUGUUUGAUUAUUAGUUUCUGCCUUACAGACCAGCUGAUCCUGGACUAUUAUACACUAUUUAUUUCUGUUUUACGCUUUAUAUAUAUAUAUAUAUAUACAUUUCCGUUUCUUAUUCUUUCUGUGAAAUCAUCGUCCUCUCUUGAAUGUGCCUCAGAUGUCUUUAGGAUGUUACAGUAUAUGCUAUAAACACACACAUCUGCACUGAAGACGCUUGAAUGUGUGCUUCAAGGAUCAAAUGAUGAGAUAAUUUCUAUUCUGUAAUAUCUAGUGUAGAAGUGACAGUCACACUGCUCGUAUUUUAUUAUGAUGUAAAGUUGAAGUGCUGAACUGAUGGACUGCGAGUGUCAAUAAAUGAAGAGCUUUUAUCAUGUCU